CAGCCUUUCCCUCCUGGAGUGCCCUGCUCUUUGAAGCUGCUUGCAGUGGCCACCCCCCGACCCUAAAAUGCAGUUCAGAGGGCUCUUUGCUGGGUGUUUGUCCUGUUUCCUCUGCUGACCAUGUUCUGCUCUGUGUGGAGGCCAGCGGUCUGCUGGGCCAUGGGGAGACCUUUUGGCGUGGUGCGGAUCUGCCCCGAGGCUGGGACAGGGCGAUUCCUGCCAAGCACCCUCCUUGGCUAUGUCCCCGGGUGGGAGGCAGCAAGACGCAGGGUAGUGCCCACGGGUAGCGUGGCUUCUACCUGUUUUGGGAGGUGGCAGCACCGAAACCCCGGGCUAUGGAAGACGGGAGCUCCUGGUAGGAUGCAGCGAGCAGUAGGCUCCCCCCGUGGAGUGGCGCUGACUUCCCUUGGGGAGCGCCUGCACAGGCAGCACACACAGCACCGGGCUGGGACCUGCUGUAGGUGCUGUAACACCUCAGAGCUCUGGCUCCCUGGGCAAGGCGGUGUGAGCAGCACGCUGAGUGCACGGCCCUCAUCAGGCCUUGGGGGUGUUUUUUGCAGCCUCCAGCAACACGAGCUGAGACCAGGCCCCAUCCCACAUCUCAUCAUUAGGAUAUUUGUGUCAAAAAAAUCACAGCUGAUGGAUAGACACCAGGGAGCUCUGGGUGUACACAUUGCGUCUCAUAAAGCUGAAAGCCAAAAACUAAGCAUUCAUAGUUCAGCACAAUUAAUCUCAGGUAGUUACAGAAAUGUCAUCUUUCCUUGUCCUGUGAUUUCAGGCACUUAUGUAUCUGAAAUUUUCUAUUCCACUUUCACCUAUCUUUAUAAACUGGGUGAUGAAGGAACUCACAGUCUUCUCAAAUCCUUUGAGAGGGACAUUUGCGUUGAGAACAGACACUGCUCUCUCAUCUUUGCAGCUAUGUCCUUUACUAGAAACCUGCUUUUGCUUGUGCAUCCCGGUCACUCCCUCCCCUUAAACGCAGAUUGAGAGCUUCAAACAUGGGUAAUGGGCAGAAGAGUCAAUGCUUGGGCAAGACCCUAAAACUGUGGAAGACCUCAGCUGUACAAGGGCUGUACAUCCAGGCUGGUGUGGAAGGAAGGGCCCAGAGAACAAGGUCCCUUCCCAGCUCCUCUCCAGCCCCCUCCUUCCACCCUUACAACUGUUCCCUGCUCAGCCGCUCACCGUGAGCCCAGUUCCCACUGAACGCUGGAGCUCGGGAUGCCCAGAGGAGUUCAGCUUUUUACAACAGGAUCCAGUCCCUAAGCACCCAUACGCACCCCAAUAUCAAAACUGAUAAAUCCCAGC
rnacentral:lncRNA from 1 species